CUGAUCCCAGUAAGAGCACCAAGUCUGAAAUUGGACCUAACAACUAGGUACCGUGAUUACAGAUUUUUUUCCCACAUGGCGAUUUGUAGUGCUGCUUAUUCUCCAUUAUAGAUAUCGUGGGACAACCCCGUAUACAAUA